rnacentral:siRNA from 1 species
AUAACUGAAAGGCGAUUUCGUGC